rnacentral:rRNA from 1 species
UACGAGAGGCCCAAACGUUAUUCGGAAUUACUGGGCUUAAAGAGUUCGUAGGCGGCAUUGCAAGUAGGGUGUGAAAGCCCUCGGCUCAACCGAGGAAUUGCGCUCUAAACUGCAGUGCUCGAGGAACCUAGAGGUGAGCAGAACAGAUGGUGGAGCGGUGAAAUGCGUUGAUAUCAUCUGGAAUACCGGAGGCGAAGACGGCUCACUGGGGGUUUUCUGACGCUGAGGAACGAAAGCCAGGGUAGCGAACGGG